rnacentral:rRNA from 1 species
UUGAAAGGAGGUAGCUCUACGGAGCCUGUGUCGAGGUGCUGCAUGGUUGUCGUCAGCUCGUGCCGUGAGGUGUCGGCUUAAGUGCCAUAACGAGCGCAACCCCCAUCGCCAGUUACCAGCAAGUCAAGUUGGGGACUCUGGCGAGACUGCCGGCGCAAGCUGUGAGGAAGGCGGGGAUGACGUCAAAUCAGCACGGCCCUUACGUCCGGGGCGACACACGUGUUACAAUGGCAGGUACAGAGAGAAGCAAUGCGGCGACGCAAAGCGGAACUUGAAAGCCUGUCUCAGUUCGGAUUGGAGUCUGCAACUCGACUCCAUGAAGCUGGAUUCGCUAGUAAUCGCGCAUCAGCCAUGGCGCGGUGAAUACGUUCCCGGGCCUUGUACACACCGCCCGUCAAGCCAUGGAAGCCGGGAGUGCCUGAAGUGUGCAACCGCAAGGAGCGCCCUAAGGUAAAACUGGUGACUGGGGCUAAGUCGUAACAAGGUAGCCGUACCGGAAGGUGCGG